rnacentral:sRNA from 1 species
CUUAACCAAGAAAACCACAAAA